CCUACGGGUGGCAGCAGUGAGGAAUAUUGGUCAAUGGGCGAGAGCCUGAACCAGCCAAGUCGCGUGAGGGAGUACUGCCCUAUGGGUUGUAAACCUCUUUUGUCGGGGAGCAAAAGCCGGACGUGUCCGGCUGUGAGAGUACCCGAAGAAAAAGCAUCGGCUAACUCCGUGCCAGCAGCCGCGGUAAUACGGAGGAUGCGAGCGUUAUCCGGAUUUAUUGGGUUUAAAGGGUGCGCAGGCGGAUUUUUAAGUCAGCGGUAAAAUCGUGGGGCUCAACCCCAUCCAGCCGUUGAAACUGGGGAUCUAGAGUGUGCGAGAGGUAUGCGGAAUGCGUGGUGUAGCGGUGAAAUGCAUAGAUAUCACGCAGAACCCCGAUUGCGAAGGCAGCAUACCGGUGCACAACUGACGCUCAGGCACGAAAGCGUGGGUAUCGAACAGGAUUAGAUACCCUGGGAGUC
rnacentral:rRNA from 1 species